rnacentral:tRNA from 1 species
GCCUUCAUGGUGUAAUGGUAGCACACUGGGCACAUAUUUGAGAGGUCCAGGUUUGAAUCCCAGUGGGGGCA